UGCAGAAUCCCGCGAACCAUCGAGUCUUUGAACGCAAGUUGCGCCCGAGGCCACCUGGCCGAGGGCACGCCUGCCUGGGCGUCACGCCAAACACGCUCCCAACCCCUCAUCGGGAGUGGGAUGCGGCUUGUGGCCCCCCGUCUCGCAAGGGGCGGUGGGCCGAAGAUGCGGCUGCCGGCGUAUCGUGUCGGACACAGCGCGUGGUGGGCGACCUCGCUUUACUUACCGCAGUGCAUCCGGCCCGUAGCCGAUGUGAUGGCCUUGAAGGACCCUAUAAACGGAGCGCAUGACGCUUCGACCGCGACCCCAGGUCAGGCGGGACUACCCGCUGAGUUUAAGCAUAUAAAUAAGCGGAGGAGAAGAAACUUACAAGGAUUCCCCUAGUAACGGCGAGCGAACCGGGAUCAGCCCAGCUUGAGAAUCGGGCGGCCGUGCCGUCCGA
rnacentral:rRNA from 2 species